GAAGCAAAUGAGAACAAUUACUCCAUGUUAAUACCACUAGGCAAGGAGCACGCUGACUUUGCACUAAGCCUACCCUACAUUUAAAGCAGCUUAGAGGAGUACACCAGAGCUCUGCUGCCACAAGGACAGCUUGGAGGAGUUGCUAUGGAACAGUCUCCUGCCACACAAACACUCAAAUUCUCCUGAACAACAAGCUGCAUUUCCCCAAAGCUAAGAGCACUGUGAACAAGGCAGAAGGGUGGUAACUCCAAUGACUAGACAAAAAGCUGGAGCCAAUUUGCCUGGACCAGAUCUCUCUCCAGGUUCUGGGGACAUCAAUUGGUUAUUUAGUGUCUUGGGGUGACUUUAUGAUACUGUAUCUCCUAUUAUCUGCUUUAUGCCCAGAAAUGGGUCCUGUAACUUUCAGCUGGGUCUGAGAGAAGGAGGGAAUCUGGGGGAAUUUUUUUGGCAGUGAAUCACAAAUUUUAAAAGAAUUAGGAAUUUUAGAAAAGUUAAAAAUCUUAGCUAGAGAUAGACUUUGCUGAAAUUAGUUAAUGAUUAGGUUAGAAGCAGGAUUUGAGAUAAUGAAUCCCAAUUUAGGUAACAAAUUACUUGCCAUUGUAUGUUUGUUUAGUUGUGCUUAAAAUGAGAAAAAGAGAAACUGAUAAAUAGACUUAGGAAGAACACAGACCUUACAUCUGGAAACCCAUUUAAAAGUCACGAAAGGAGGAAAUUUGAGUUCUUCCAAAUGUCAUUUGUAAUGUCAACCAUUGUAAAGGUAGAAAGGUCAGAGUGAGGAAGAGUGGUUUUCCUUCAUCUUUUGAUGACCACUCAUCAAAACGACCACCUCCUUAAUUUAGGGAAUCAACCACGCAGGCGUAAUGACUUUUUAAACUCAUUACCACCUAUUUUAAUACAAAGCGGGGAACAUGAGGGGUUAGCAUUAUGAAUAUGUAUUAGUAUUUUGGAUAUUCAAGACUUUUGUAAAUAAAUAGACACUGGAAUCUUUUGUCAACUUGCAGUGCAUAUUACGGGGGCUACCCCCGCACUAGCCUGAUGCUGAAUAAACAUACAUUCUCUAACUUUAAACUGUUAGAGGGUCUUUUUGUCCAUCAACAGAUUGAUAUUGAUACUAGACCAAUAUUGAUAUUUUGGUAAAUCAGCGGUCUGUAUUCAAACACACAUCCUUUGCUGUAUUCUCUCAGGUGUGCUGUGCAGCACAAAGAGGGAGUAUAUCUUUGCUUUUAGCUAGCUUCUUUUUUGUUAUCUGAGGUAAGAAGCUUUCCCGGGAUUGCAUACAGCUUCUCCAUUGACUUCUGUGGCUUCUUCUGGAACUGUUCAGCUUUGCUCUGGUCCGAGAACAGACCAACACCGGGAGCCAGCAAGGAGGCUCUGGGAUGUCACAUUCCAGCUCCAGACCUCGGGAGGAGCCGAGCCACACCUACAGAAAGGACUCUGAAUCCACCAGCUUUCUCCACAGUGAGAAGGUUUUAAUAUUUAACAUUUUUUCCUGUGUCUGCGUGCACUCUGUGUGUGUUAAAUAAACAGCUUUUUUCAUUUUCAUCCAAGAAAUUCCUUUUGUAUCAGUGGUGGGGGAGAGUGGUGGUUUGAAAUAGCUUGGUUUUAGUUAAGAGAAAAAAACAUCAGGAACGGAAGUAAUUCUCUCUGUAAAGAACAUUACAACUUCCUCUGUGCCUGGCAAAACCAAUUGCUGGCUGGCUUUUAGAACUGAUACACCAAUUAGCCAAUUAGAGAAGCUAGAACUGUCUCUAUGAAUACUAUAUUUAAGAAAGGAGAAACCACGAAAAGGUCUCUCUUAUUUCCUGCUUUUUGCAAAAGAGUGGAGGCCCUUUCUCCCCCCCCCCCCCCUUCCCGGUAAGGCCGGGCCGAGCCCAUGUGGCCCGGCUGCCAGCGGGAGGAGGGGAAGCCCAGGCCGCGGCGGCUGCUGAAAUCCUGCCUCUUCUGAGCUCCGCCCACAGUCGUCGGGCAGGGCUGGCUCCGCUGGGCUCCGGGUCGGGCCGGGCCCCGUUCCAGCCGCAAGCUGCCGAGCCAUCCUGCCGGGGGCUGUCCCGGCGCCACGGGGCACUGUGCGGCUGAGACCAGUGAGCAGCUCUGCAGUCUGCGCAGGAAGUGGCCCCGCGGCUGGAACUAAGAGCGGCCGAGGCCAGAAAACAGUCAUGCGGCCGGAGCGGCUGCCACCAUCCUAGCCAAGCCAGCGAGAGACUUUGCGUGCCUGUCUGCUUCUAAUCUGCCGCACUGCAGACAAAAGGACAGAAAACAGUGGCCGGCACGGCUUGUGCGGUGCCGGGGAAGAUCACAUGACCAGCAGCAAGAGGCAGAACACGCAAUUCCCCGAUGCAGGGCCCGAACGAGAUUAACCCCAUCAGUGCUGUAAAAUUCCACUUGAGAACAGAUAAAACCUACAGACGCCAAUCUUCUCCCGAGUCAGAGAAAAGGAAAUGUGAAGGCACGUGAAGAAAACAACAGGGCGACACCAAGGUCAGUGAAGAAGGAGGGGCUGAAGCCCAGAAGAAAGGAGAGGAGAUGCUUCGGUUUCGGAGCUGAAAACCUUUUGCAAGCCGAGGUGAGAAUAUAAUAGACCAGAUUAUUUCCCUGUAAUUCAUAAAGCACAGGGGGGGAUGCAGCGUUCAUCCGCAGCUCAGAAGAGAACUAGAAAAUAUAGAUGUUGAAAGAAGCUGUGAUCUCACUUGAACAGAGAGAGAGAACCUUUGCUUUCACAAACAGAAGAGAACUUUUAUUUUCAGAGAUAGAACUUCUGCUUCUAUAGUAGAACGGGUCAUCCUUAAAAUUAUACCCCAGUAGCCAAAAUGACCCUCGACAGCAGUUGUGCGAAAAACUGUAAGUCAAUGGGAAGGAUUUUCAUGAAGCCAACAAGUUUUUACCGGGCGGACUGUUUAACCGUGCACUUAAAACCACGAGGAAUUUUUCUUGUGGCAUGACAAAAGAGACUCCUAUCCUUAAAUGAACUGAAGAAAGAUUCUUUUUUAGAAGUGGUAAACUGACUGAUAAACACAGGUUUUGUCUCUUUAUGUUGGCAGUGAGAAGGAAAGAGGGGCUGGGGGGAGAUAAAUGUUCUAAAGGUUUAUUUAGUUCUUAUAAUUCUUCUUUUAGUUCUGUUAAUAAAGUUUUCUUUAUAGCCUUUAAAAUUUUGAGCCUGUUUUGCCCCUAAAGCAUUUUCUCCUAAUCCUUAUCUCAACCCCAUGAGCUUUAGCUUAACUGGUUGUUUUUUUCCCCUCCUCUGUUCCAAUUAUAGCAGAGGAAGAUGAGUAGAUGAUUUUUGGGAAUGCACUGGUGUCUGGCCAGUGGUCAACCCACUACAGGGAGGGACUGCCAAAACCUGCCUUCUUCAGAGGAGAUGUUCCUUUCGUGACGUUUCCUCCUAAACUUGUCUCAAACCAAGACAUUUAGGCACUUGAGUAUCAGUAGGUAAUGUCAUUUAUAACUAUGUAGUUGUUGGCUUUUGCUAUUAUGUAUUGGCUUUUACAAAUUAUUAUUAAUCAAAACAAUUUUGAUAUAGUACAGUUUGUAAUCACUUUAACUGAUUUUGAUAUAGUAUAAUUUGUCAGCUUUUUAUGGCCAAUGCCCUGGCCCCUGUGUAGCUCGUAUCCUCAGAACAUCAUUUAUGGAUGAUAUUUUAGUUUGUGGACAGUGUGAUAAACACAUGUUAUAGUUUUGGCUUUCACAAAUAUUAAAGUGGAUGCUAUGUGUUAUACAUUAUAAUGUUAACUUUUGCAGAAGUAGCUGUAGUUGUGAAAUAACUAAUGUUUUUAUUUUUGUAACUAACUGACAAUAAUGAAAAUAACUCAGAUAUAUUUGUGAAAUAGCUGAUGUUCAUUUAAAGUACUUGUGGUUAACUUACAAUAACGGAAAUAGCUAAAACCAUCAGCAUGAUCAGAUAACAUUUAAGGAACAAAUGUAAUGAGGAUCCCUGCUACUGACCCUUCAACUAUCCAUAACUGUCACCUGCUGAAACCACAGAACAGGGGGCCGUUGUGAGGAAGUGACACACGACCCUCAAAACCACAUCCACGAUUACUGCACAUACUCUAAAAAGAUCAGUGGGAACAGUCGAGCUGCUGUUAUCACUGCCACUGCAGAGUCCAGCCUGUUACUGUUCUCUCCUACCAUAAGUGAGGCUUUUGCUUGUUGAAAGAGCGACUGUUGCACUGAGACCUUAUUAACACCCUACCUCGCUGGAAAGGACCCUCGCUGUCUAUAUACUCAGGACACCCCACAGCUCCUGCUACAGCUGCAGAGUUUGUGAUGCAUUUCGUUUGCUACCCUGGGUCUGCUCGCUUCUGCCGUUCCAGCUUGCUGCUUCCAAGGUUCCUGCUACAGCUCAUUUUGCUAUCUGGAGGGACACCAGGACCAACUGCCCUUGCAUAAGUUUGUAAAGGAAGCCCCUUUUCCAUCUCUUCCGCCGGCUGUGCCCGCCAUUACCCACGUGAGAGAGACAGCUGAGCUCGUGCUACAGCACAAGAAUUACUUCUGUGCCUGCAGCCACGACUGAAUCAUUGCACCUGCCCUGCCAGGAGCCAACAGUGCCCCUGCCGGCUGUAACCAUAACUACACCAAAAGGGGAAAGUGCCUGACAGCUGAGAGAAGGCUGUUACUGGGUUUCUGGUUUUGUUUGUUGUUGCUGCCAUUGUUGUUGUUUGUUUGCCUUGCUAUACAUAUACAUACUAGUAAAGAACUGUUAUUCUUUUUCCCAUAUCUUUGCCUGAGAGCCCCUUAAUUUCAAAGUUAUAAUAAUUCAGAGGGAAGGAGGUCAUAUUUUCCAUUCCAGGGGAGGUUCCCACCUUCCUUGGCAGACACCUGUCUUUCAAACCAAGACAGCCCUGAGCAAUCUGAUUGAAUUUCCAAGCUACCUCCCUGCUCUGGACAAACAGCUGGACCAGAUAGCCUCUGAGGUUCCCUCUCAACCUAAAUUUUUCUCUCUCACUCUCUUCCCAACUUUGCUCUUUCAGCACCUUCCCUGACCACAGGAGUGAGGAUUCCCAAGAUAAUCCAUGCAGAUAACCUCCUGGGAUAGGAGGUCACACUAUCUACAGGGAAACUGGGCAGUGGAUGUGAGCUUCUUUACAAGCCAUAUAUAUUGCAGGACCAGAACAGAAUAGAAUAAUUUCAGUUUGAAGUGACCUACAAUGAUCAUUUAGUACAACUGCAGAAAAAGAACCCAUAACAUGCUUUAAAAAUUUGUAGAAGGUGAUGGCUAAUGAGGUGUUGAAAUAAAUUCUCAGGGAUGCAGAGAAUAUCUAUACCAUCCUAAUGCUAGCCUCACUGCUAAGACACUGGGACAUUUAUAAUCCUGUAAUAACAGAUACAAGUUCCAGUAGGAGAAAACCAUCUAAAUAGCUGUAUUGCCAAAGAGAAUUCAUACACUAACAUCAGAAAAGCAGCCUCUGCUCUUAUUGCAAGCAGGGAAAACAAAACACACAAACAAGAACCAGGCCAGUAAGACAGGUGCAGUGCAGUUUGGGAGUACCUCAGCACAAACAUAACAUAAGGAGUAGAAGAAA